GUCCACGCCGUAAACGAUGGAUACUAGCUGUUGGGAUUUAUCUCAGUGGCUAAGCGAAAGUGAUAAGUAUCCCACCUGGGGAGUACGUUCGCAAGAAUGAAACUCAAAGGAAUUGACGGGGCCCGCACAAGCGGUGGAGCAUGUGGUUUAAUUCGAUGAUACGCGAGGAACCUUACCAAGGCUUAAAUGUAGAUUGACCGGUUUUGGAAACAGAUCUUUCGCAAGACAAUUUACAAGGUGCUGCAUGGUUGUCGU
rnacentral:rRNA from 1 species